GACGAACGCUGGCGGCGUGCCUAAUACAUGCAAGUAGAACGCUGAAGAGAGGAGCUUGCCCUUCUUGGAUGAGUUGCGAACGGGUGAGUAACGCGUAGGUAACCUGCCUUGUAGCGGGGGAUAACUAUUGGAAACGAUAGCUAAUACCGCAUAACAAUGGAUGACACAUGUCAUUUAUUUGAAAGGGGCAAUUGCUCCACUACAAGAUGGACCUGCGUUGUAUUAGCUAGUAGGUUAGGUAAUGGCUCACCUAGGCGACGAUACAUAGCCGACCUGAGAGGGUGAUCGGCCACACUGGGACUGAGACACGGCCCAGACUCCUACGGGAGGCAGCAGUAGGGAAUCUUCGGCAAUGGGGGCAACCCUGAGCGAGCAACGCCGCGGGAGUGAAGAAGAUUUUCGGAUCGUAAAGCUCUGUUGUAAGUCAAGAAAGGGUGUGAGAGUGGAAAGUUCACACUGUGACGGUAGCUUACCAGAAAGGGACGGCUAACUACGAG
rnacentral:rRNA from 1 species